CCUGAGUUUAUGCAAAGCGUUUCCGGGUAUGCCUAGGAUCCACUGUGCG
rnacentral:misc_RNA from 1 species